CAGUCGCCGCGGUAAUACAGAGGGUGCGAGCGUUAAUCGGAUUUACUGGGCGUAAAGCGUGCGUAGGCGGCCUCUUAAGUCGGAUGUGAAAUCCCUGAGCUUAACUUAGGAAUUGCAUUCGAUACUGGGAAGCUAGAGUAUGGGAGAGGAUGGUAGAAUUCCAGGUGUAGCGGUGAAAUGCGUAGAGAUCUGGAGGAAUACCGAUGGCGAAGGCAGCCAUCUGGCCUAAUACUGACGCUGAGGUACGAAAGCAUGGGGAGCAAACAGGAUUAGAUACCCCGGUAGUCCCUGUCUCUUAUAA
rnacentral:rRNA from 1 species